rnacentral:rRNA from 1 species
CCUACGGGAGGCUGCAGUCGAGAAUCAUUCACAAUGGGGGAAACCCUGAUGGUGCGACGCCGCGUGGGGGAAUGAAGGUCUUCGGAUUGUAAACCCCUGUCAUGUGGGAGCAAAUUAAAAAGAUAGUACCCCAAGAGGAAGAGACGGCUAACUCUGUGCCAGCAGCCGCGGUAAUACAGAGGUCUCAAGCGUUGUUCGGAAUCACUGGGCGUAAAGCGUGCGUAGGCUGUUUCGUAAGUCGUGUGUGAAAGGCGCGGGCUCAACCCGCGGACGGCACAUGAUACUGCGAGACUAGAGUAAUGGAGGGGGAACCGGAAUUCUCGGUGUAGCAGUGAAAUGCGUAGAUAUCGAGAGGAACACUCGUGGUGAAGGCGGGUUCCUGGACAUUAACUGACGCUGAGGCACGAAGGCCAGGGGAGCGAAAGGGAUUAGAUACCCUUGUAGUC